AAGCCAUGUUGCGGGCACUUCCUCAACAUAUUCUUGAAACGAUUCCAUGCCUCUUCAAACGAUUCAGACUCACCUUGGUUAAAAAUAGAGAUAUCAUGCCGCAUUUU
rnacentral:snoRNA from 1 species